rnacentral:rRNA from 1 species
GCAUAUCAAUAAGCGGAGGAAAAGAAACCAACAGGGAUUGCCCUAGUAACGGCGAGUGAAGCGGCAAUAGCUCAAAUUUGAAAGCUGGCCUUCUGGUCCGCAUUGUAAUUUGUAGAGGAUGCUUUUAGGCAGCCGCCGGUCUAAGUUCCUUGGAACAGGACGUCAUAGAGGGUGAGAAUCCCGUAUGUGACCGGCUCUGGCACCUUAUGUAAAGCUCCUUCGACGAGUCGAGUUGUUUGGGAAUGCAGCUCUAAAUGGGAGGUAAAUUUCUUCUAAAGCUAAAUACUGGCGAGAGACCGAUAGCGCACAAGUAGAGUGAUCGAAAGAUGAAAAGCACUUUGGAAAGAGAGUUAAAAAGCACGUGAAAUUGUUGAAAGGGAAGCGCUUGCAAUCAGACUUGGACUUGGCUGUUCAACCGGUCUUCUGACCGGCCUACUCAGUCUUGUCCAGGCCAGCAUCAGUUUCGGCGGCCGGAUAAAGGCCCUGGGAAUGUAGCUGUUCCUUCGGGGACAGUGUUAUAGCCCAGGGUGUAAUACGGCCAGCUGGGACUGAGGUCCGCGCUUCGGCUAGGAUGCUGGCGUAAUGGUUGUAAGCGGCCCGUCUUGAAACACGGACCAAGGAGUCUAACAUCUAUGCGAGUGUUAGGGUGUCAAACCCUUACGCGUAAUGAAAGUGAACGGAGGUGGGAACCCGCAAGGGUGCACCAUCGACCGAUCCUGAUGUCUUCGGAUGGAUUUGAGUAAGAGCAUAGCUGUUGGGACCCGAAAGAUGGUGAACUAUGCCUGAAUAGGGUGAAGCCAGAGGAAACUCUGGUGGAGGCUCGCAGCGGUUCUGACGUGCAAAUCGAUCGUCAAAUUUGGGUAUAGGGGCGAAAGACUAAUCGAACCAUCUAGUAGCUGGUUCCUGCCGA